rnacentral:rRNA from 1 species
GACGAACGCUGGCGGCGUGCUUAACACAUGCAAGUCGAACGGAAAGGCCCUGCUCUUGUGGGGUGCUCGAGUGGCGAACGGGUGAGUAACACGUGAGUAACCUGCCCUUGACUUUGGGAUAACUUCAGGAAACUGGGGCUAAUACCGGAUAGGAGCUCCUGCUGCAUGGUGGGGGUUGGAAAGUUUCGGCGGUUGGGGAUGGACUCGCGGCUUAUCAGCUUGUUGGUGGGGUAGUGGCUUACCAAGGCUUUGACGGGUAGCCGGCCUGGGAGGGUGACCGGCCACAUUGGGACUGAGAUACGGCCCAGACUCGUACGGGAGGCAGCAGUGGGGAAUAUUGCACAAUGGGCGGAAGCCUGAUGCAGCAACGCCGCGUGCGGGAUGACGGCCUUCGGGUUGUAAACCGCUUUCGCAUGUGACGAAGCGUGAGUGACGGUAAUGGGUAAAGAAGCACCGGCUAACUACGUG